CAGUCGCCACGGUAAAACGGAGGGUGCAAGCGUUAAUCGGAAUUACUGGGCGUAAAGCGCACGCAGGCGGUCUGACAAGUCAGAUGUGAAAUCCCCGGGCUUAACCUGGGAACUGCAUUUGAAACUGUCAGGCUGGAGUCUUGUAGAGGGGGGUGGAAUUCCAGGUGUAGCGGUGAAAUGCGUAGAGAUCUGGAGGAAUACCGGUGGCGAAGGCGGCCCCCUGGACAAAGACUGACGCUCAGGUGCGAAAGCGUGGGGAGCAAACAGGAUUAGAUACCCGCGUAGUCCCUGUCUCUUAUAC
rnacentral:rRNA from 1 species